ACACCGAAGUCAAGCAUCAUUGGGCGCGGCCAGUACUUGGAUGGGUGACCACCUGGGAACACCGCGUGCCGUU